GCAUAAAAUAUAAUGGGAAUGUAGACAUGGACAGAUUAACAGAUGAUAUAAAUAUUAAUUGUAUAAAAUUACAACAAAAUUAACAAUCAUUUAUACACAAUUUUCAUAUACGCAGACAAAAAUUACAGACCAUCUAUACAAAAUUAUUAUGAAUUCACAGACCAUGAAAACUAACCAUGCAUUCACAGAUCUUAGAUUUACUCAUGUAAAGAAGCUACAAUAUAAAUUGAUCUUAAAAAUUUACUUAACAAUCAAAUUCUGAUAUAUUAACAGAUAUAAAAAAUGAUACUGAACAACAAAAACCUCACACAAUUAGAUAUAAAGGCUGCCUUAGAACAAUUUUGCAACCUAGAAAAAGCAAAAAAAACCAACAUUUGUCUGAAUAUCAAUUUUUACAGUGGUUUUGUCAUAAAUAGCUGUAUAGGUAGAAUUAUAUCAACUAUUAAAUCAACAGAAGUCAAAAUAUUCAUAAAAUAAAAAAAUAAUAAAAAUAAUAAAUGUUAAUUAACACUCAGUUUUGUACAAAUAUGUCUUCAUACUGCAAAAUAAAGAGGUUGUUUCUAAAAUGAAAUGACUUUUUUUAAUUUACUUUUUGACUUUUUUGAGGAAAUUCAAUGGAAAAUACAAGGAAUUUGAAGUAAAUACUGAAUGGAAUAAUUUGGUUUGUAAAUUAAAGAAAAAGGUUGUCAAUCACUAAACCUUUUUGCCACUGGAUUUGUCAGAUAAACAAGAGGCUCUUAAGAGCCUGAAUCGCUCACCUUAAUUUUUUUGGUUAAAUCUCUCAUCAAUGAUUAUUUUGGCUUUUCAAUUUAUUUAAAUGUUCUUUGAAUCGUCCUAUUUUCUUCAAAAGCAAAAAAAAAAUCAUUUUCUCCUAUGUUCUAUUUUAGCCAUAGGAGCUAUGUUUCUGACAUACAAGGAAAUGAAAUAUAAAAUUUAUACUAGAUACUCUGAAACUCAUUU
rnacentral:lncRNA from 1 species